rnacentral:lncRNA from 1 species
AGAAAACCUAAUUAUCAGGCAGGUAAAUUUGUUUACUAUGUAGGACACGCAAAUCAUAUAUUCAGAAUAUACAAGAAAAAUUUAUGAAGCAAGAAAAAGAAAAACAGCCAACCAACAAGGAAAACUGGGCAAAAUUUAAAAGUGGACCACCCACAGGGGUCUGUUGAGGAAAAAGAACAUUGGCCCAUAAUGGGCAGCAGUGUUGGAGAGGCUGGUUUGUUCCAGUCAUCGCAAGAAUGCUCUCCAGCUCAUGAUCCACCUUUCUUUAAGAGACACAGAAAGCACUUUCUGCUCAUUGCCUUGGAUAAAAGAAAACACGACACACAAGACAGCCAAG